AGUGAGGAAUAUUGGUCAAUGGGCGCAAGCCUGAACCAGCCAUGCCGCGUGCAGGAUGACGGUCCUAUGGAUUGUAAACUGCUUUUGUACGGGAAGAAACACUCCGACGUGUCGGAGCUUGACGGUACCGUAAGAAUAAGGAUCGGCUAACUCCGUGCCAGCAGCCGCGGUAAUACGGAGGAUCCAAGCGUUAUCCGGAAUCAUUGGGUUUAAAGGGUCCGUAGGCGGUCUUGUAAGUCAGUGGUGAAAGCCCAUCGCUCAACGAUGGAACGGCCAUUGAUACUGCAGGACUUGAAUUAUUGGGAAGUAACUAGAAUAUGUAGUGUAGCGGUGAAAUGCUUAGAGAUUACAUGGAAUACCAAUUGCGAAGGCAGGUUACUACCAAUGGAUUGACGCUGAUGGACGAAAGCGUGGGUAGCGAA
rnacentral:rRNA from 1 species